UCAUGACCUGAGCAGAGGGCAGACUCUCUCUGAGCCACCCAGGCACCGUGAGCCCACCCACUUUAAACCAAGAGCGGAGCACAGCAGCCCAAGUUUGUCAUCUUGUCACAUUCAGAUCACAUGCAGACCUUGUGAGCGGGAUUCUCCAAUAAGAUACCACUGAGAACCUACCAUGUGCAUGGCUUUCUGCCACGUUCUGGGGAUACGCUUAUGGGAUCUUCAGUGCUGUGCUAGCCAUAGUCUGAACUAAAGACUUGUUCCCAAAGAUUCUUCUCCAUCAGCCUGACUGGGCAGAGGACUGGACGUAGAGGAAGCUGAAAUAUUAGAGCCCUGUGAUUUUACGUGCAUACUACUCAGAAGUCAAGCAACAAUCCAGAUUCAUCAUUGAAUCAGGGCUUCCAGGAAGAAGAAACUGUGUAUAUGAUUAACAAGCUGGGGGAGGAUCACUGCAUACAUGCAUAGAUAUGUUUCUUGCUUGCUCUCUUUGGGGACACUUGUUCUUCCCUCUAACACUGCUUCCAUGUGCGGUAAGGACGGCUGAUUCAGGGCUCAGAAACUAGCUUCUCCAGACAAGAAUGGAAGUCUCCCUUCUGGUUGUCCUUUGACUCCUGCUCAUCCAGGGUAUAUGUCAGGCCAUGCAUGACCUUCCAUGUGGCUAACUCAGUAAUGCUUGGUCUACACACCCAACUCUCAUGUAAGUCCCAUGGUAGAGACUCGAGAGGAAGUGAUAUGGAACCUCCACUUUGGCAACCAGUCCAGACCACUUCUUCCAGUCUACCUUUACCAACUAUAGACAAAUAACUAAUUUUCAUGUGGUUCCUAUGUUUAUUUCUCAACUGCUUUUAGAAAGAAGAAAAAAAAAAAAGCCUGAGUAAUGAGCUCCCCCAACCCCAAUACAGGUGCCUGUGGGCCUAGAAGGGAAUCUCGCAAAAUGAAACCCAUUUGAUUUAUUGGGGAGAUAAAUAUGGUUGUAAAUUAUUUCCCUUUCUUUCAUUUGGUUUUCCAUUAAUCUUGUUUGAGAUAUGAAUAGCUCCAAACUCUGGGCAGGUAGUAACGACUUCUCCUGGACUCAGUCCAGGUAAUGCUUUGUGACUGGCAUACACCCAGAAACCACUUUUCUAAGGUUUCUGUAAGCUUCAUGGGGGCACAGAUGAUCUUAUAUUUCCCAGACGUAGCAGUCAAAAGAUCAUUCAGUGGUAUAGGAGUGGGAACCACACACAAGCUGGAGCAAUACGAUCUCUUCCCGAAUAUUUUUAAAAAGCUAAUCUGAGAGAAUAAAACUGAUGCAGAAACUGACUGGCAACGGAGAAAAAGAGCAUAUUUCGG